ACUCAAAGGAAUUGACGGGGGCCCGCACAAGCGGCGGAGCAUGCGGCUUAAUUCGAUGCAACGCGAAGAACCUUACCAAGGCUUGACAUACGCCGAAAACCUGCAGAGAUGUGGGGUCCUUCGGGGCGGUGUACAGGUGGUGCAUGGUUGUCGUCAGCUCGUGUCGUGAGAUGUUGGGUUAAGUCCCGCAACGAGCGCAACCCUCGUUCCAUGUUGCCAGCACUUCGGGUGGGGACUCAUGGGAGACUGCCGGGGUCAACUCGGAGGAAGGUGGGGAUGACGUCAAAUCAUCAUGCCCCUUAUGUCUUGGGCUGCACGCAUGCUACAAUGGCCGGUACAGAGGGUUGCGAUGCCGUAAGGUUGAGCGAAUCCCAAAAAGCCGGUCUCAGUUCGGAUCGGGGUCUGCAACUCGACCCCGUGAAGUCGGAGUCGCUAGUAAUCGCAGAUCAGCAACGCUGCGGUGAAUACGUUCCCGGGCCUUGUACACACCGCCCGU
rnacentral:rRNA from 1 species